rnacentral:rRNA from 1 species
UACGUAGGGUGCAAGCGUUGUCCGGAAUUAUUGGGCGUAAAGAGCUCGUAGGCGGUCUGUCGCGUCGGCUGUGAAAACCCGGAGCUCAACUCCGGGCCUGCAGUCGAUACGGGCAAACUGGAGUGUUGCAGGGGAGACUGGAAUUCCUGGUGUAGCGGUGAAAUGCGCAGAUAUCAGGAGGAACACCGGUGGCGAAGGCGGGUCUCUGGGCAACAACUGACGCUG